AGUUGCUGGAGUUGCCUCAGAUGACACUCUUUCGCUGACCCGAACUCCAUCAGGGAGUCCUCGAAUGCUAACACCUGGGCUUGCUGCUUCUUCUGCCGUACAGAGAGAAAAGGCUUUAGCUUGUCACUAAGGAUGCAGGGAGAUAUGGCAUUUCGUAUUCCCACUCUGUAAGAAGGAUUCAAAAGAAAGAAUCAAGAGAUGGUUCUUACCUGUCAGAAAGCUUCUUGUGAGGUCAAGAAAAAACACAAAUAUGUAAAGGAUCUAGAUUUUAUGUAAUAACAUGCUAAUGUUUUGACCUCACAUAUUAAGACAAGAUAAUGGACUUGGAAGAAAAUCGAUUUUUGGGUCAUGGUUCUUGGACCAAAUUUGGAAUACCUGGGUAAAGGAAUACUGAAAGGAGUCCAGGUUUUGGAUGUCCUCUGAGUAAAAGGCCUGCUAGCCGUAUUCUUUUAUGCCACGAGGACUUCAGAAUUGGAUCUUUAAUGGAGAUGAUCUCAUCUAAUUUGGAUAUUUAGCACCGGCUCAGAGUCUCUGAGGAAAUUUCUUCAUUCAUAAAACAAGAGGUUUGGAAUAAAUCAUCUUUCUCUGAAGAUUCCCUGAGACAGUUGAAUAACAAAUGACUCUUGCUGAAUGUCACAUGAAAUCUGCAUUUGAAAUCGAAAUCUAACCAUUCCUUCCUAAAAACCAAACCAUCAAGGAGUUCUGAAGCCCCAGAACAGGAGUAGAAAUACUUGAGGAGCAGUAGACUAUGUCCAUGAACCAUGUUCCCUUUGUAACUACAGGUAGUUGUUAGAAGAAGCUGUGCUGACCUCCGAACUCCAGAAGGAAGGUUUUUCUGGAGUCCCGGGAAAUUUAAUUUCCUGCUAAUAUCUUGCACAGAUUUUAGCUGUGAACUGUUUAUAAUCCUAUCUACUUUAUGAAGGCUAAAUUCCAGGAGGAUGCCUUUUGAGUUUCAAUAUGCAGUAGGAAUGGAUUUAAUCUGACAUUUCAUCCAUCAUAGCUCUGCAACCAGGACUGGGGCUGGAGACGAACUGAGAGUCAUAACACUGACCCCUCAGGCACCAUCUGAUCCUAUCCUGGAUCUGAAGUCAUUAGCGAUGGCUGAAAUCACAAGUCCUUGCUGCCAGGUGGGUUUUCAUUCAGACAAGCCAUAUAUUUCGAUGCCCAGUUUUGCUUAUAUAACGGUGGAACCUGGUCACUCUGUUUAGAAGCAUGGGACACCAGCAGAGCUGACAGCCCACAGGCAAAAUGAUGAGUACUGAUACCGCAGUUGCUACCAUAUGCAUGAUAAUUAAAACAGGCUAUUCACGGAGGUAAAUUUCUGUAUUGAUUAAUUAGCUUUUUUUUUUUUGCCAAAUAGCAUGCCUUCUCAAACAUAUUUCAAAAAAGUAAAUAUGUUUUUAGUCUUCAAAGGAUAGUUUCAUAUUUCUUCUUGUGGGGGAGUUGGGGUUAAAUUAAAGCUUGGAACUCAAUAUCAAUUUUAGAGCUCAAAAGCACUCUGUAGAUUCAAAAUGGCAGCAUUCCCAGGGGUUUGGCACUUGAACAAGAUAGCUUGGUGCAACAUGGGCGGCAGUUUUUAGGGUAAUUUUAGAGUCAACCAACAACACCAUCAAUGCUAUCGUCUUUGAGAAAUUAUUUGAGAUAAGGGCAAAACUUCAAUAAACAAUGGGAAGCCAUUUUUUUUUAAAAAACUUAUCACUAAUACCACAACUAUUCAGCAGAUUCCAAUUCAUAGUGAUGGCCAUGCUUUACUGAACAGGAAAGCUUGAAAACUAAAUGUGCUUCAGGAAUCCGUACCUGUCGUGAUAGAGUUUAUAGUUAUCUACAGCAGUUUCCAACACUAAUUUUGAUAUCACUCGAUUUCCAAGUUACAUUCACAUUGAUAGAAACAUUGCAGAUUUCACGUUACAUAUGAUGGAGAUUAAUAGAUACUCACGCAAGGUUUUGCCUGUGAACAAGAAUUUUGCAACAAAUUAAAUGAAAUGAAGGAAUGGACUUCUAGAGAAUCCAUACCAGAUCGCAGUUUCCUGCAAAACGGGCAGCAAAUCCCUUAAGGCUCCUAAUCCAGGAGGCAAGGGGCAGAAAUGCCUGUUUUAGAAGUUGCUCACCUCUUAGUAGGAGGAUUGUUAAAAAGCAUAGGUCAUCUGGGAUACCGCUCUACUAACUAAAACAGGCCCCUUCCAUCCUUUCUGGAAAAAGUCAGGAAAUACAUGUACAGUUUGAUCAAAAUGUUAGACAAAUCAGAGGACUCCGUUUCCAUCUCAUUUCAGAUAAAAAAAUACGUUGGCAACCGUAAGAAACAUUUAUUAAGUGUUGUUUUCCCCGUCGUAUCUCAUGACCCUGCUAGCAAGCCUGUGUCACUGAUAUUUUCUGGGUGAAGCCAAGAAAGCUCAGAGAAAGUCCCAUUCAAUGUCAUGCUGCUAAGAGAUGCGGACCCAGAUCCACCUAGCUCAAGUUUCUGAGCUCUUGAACUCUACGUUCCGCUGCUACUUCUAUCUGUGAUAUUUUGGGAUGCUUAUCCCUGGAAUUUGAGCCAUGAGACUUGGAAAGAAAGGAAGUCCCUCCUAAGCCAGUUUCAACUCCAUGUGUGCGGCCGAGUUAGGAGCCUUACCUGAUC